UACAGAGGUCUCAAGCGUUGUUCGGAUUCAUUGGGCGUAAAGGGUGUGUAGGUGGCGCCGUAAGUCGGGUGUGAAAUUUCGGAGCUUAACUCCGAAACUGCAUUCGAUACUGCGGUGCUUGAGGACUGGAGAGGAGACUGGAAUUCAUGGUGUAGCAGUGAAAUGCGUAGAGAUCAUGAGGAAGACCAGUGGCGAAGGCGGGUCUCUGG
rnacentral:rRNA from 1 species